GGAGCGGUGGCUGGGUGGUUAAAGCAUGGUGAACCGUCGCCAGCGGCACCAAGAUACGCCGGUUCGACUCCGGCCCGUUCUG
rnacentral:tRNA from 1 species